CUUGAGAGAGCCGCGAAUCUGGUCGAUGGCGUCGUCGAAGGUGGAGAAGCAAUCAUGAAGGGCGACGGCGGUUAGCGGCGCUGCGCCGUAGUCUGCCUGGCGGGAGAGUUUGGCCACGUAGGAGGCCAUGUGGCUGGCCGUGGAGAGGCUGAUAGCAACUGCGAUGCGGGCCAGGUGGGCGGCGCUUUGUUGGAUGCUCUUGGCAUAGGCGGAGAGGGAGGUGUAACAGAGUUCUGGAUACAAAGUUGCGUUGCAGCUUGUACGGAUGAAAUCGAUAGCUUUGGAGUUGUCGGAGUAUGUGGUGGGGGUGGCGGUAGCAGCACCGGCACCGGCAGCGAAGAGUGACGCUAACGCCGCUGAGAGGAGAGAGAGGCGGAAGAGAGAGGUGUGGCUUUUCAUAGUGUCUGGAAACCGGAAAUUGGAAGCAAUUUCUUGGCGCAGAGCUAAUUAAGCUGCCGAUGUGGGUUGAAAGAAGUGGUUUUUGGGCUUUAAUAGCCGCAGCGCUUGCCUUAAAUUUACUUGUCUGCCAUCCUCUGUUCAUCAAAAUAACUACAAUGCCACUUGUGAACGAAUGGCCUUUUUUCCAAUCAAAUUUCUUUAUUUUCUUUAAAUAAAGAUAGACAUCAGAUGUUUUCUUCGUUUUGUUUUUUACGCUGCACCUUUUUGAUUCUUUCCCCACACAAAUAAAUAAAUAAAACAUAUUUUACACGAUGACAAGACUAAUGAAUUUUCCUAAUUUCACAUCUCUAAUUUUAUGAAAUUAAAAUCUAGUACGAUGACAAGACUAAUGAAUUUUCCUAAUUUCACAUCCCUAUUUUUAUGAAAUUAAAAUCUAGUACGAAAAUCCCAAAAACAAAUCCACUUCUACUAAAUAUUCUUUGUGAUAAUGAAAUAUAAUACAAAAUUGUCAAAGCAAUCUCGUGCUCAAUUCUUUCUGUACUAACUUAUCCCUAUUAUUUAAAAAUAUAAUAAAGAAAAUAAACUUGAAUUAUAUAAAAAACAUUUUUCAAAUGUUUUUCAAUCAAUAUAAAAUUGUAAUAUCAUGUAAACAAAGAGAAACAAAUUGAUAAAAUUGAUCAGGAAAAAACAUGGAAGGUCAUUAAAUAGAAUGUAAUUGUCAUUAUAUUGGAAAAAACAAAAACCAUGAAAAGGGAGAGAGGGAAAAUACCACUUAGAAGAAGGUAGCAGUCCUAAUAUAAUUGGAAAACAAAAAGUUAAUAAAUAAUAAUAAACAUCGUAGAGGGUAGUUUCUGAAUAGAUAUCUUCCAUGUUAUAACAUAAAAUUAAUUUUUUUACUCAAAAAAAUGAAAAACAUGAAGAGCCACUUAGAGGAAGGUAAUGAGAGAAGUCGACAUAAAACUAAUGUGCAUUAUGGUAUAUAAGUAGUAUCAACAUAUCUAAAAAGACGUCUUGUUAUAAUGUUAAAUUAAAAUAUUUUACAUAAAAUGAGAUAAAUGAAAAAUCACAUGAAGAUGGUGAGAAAAAGUGAAAAUAAGAUAAUUAUCUAUAGAAAAUUAAGUGGUAAUAUCGAAAAAAAUUAUCAACGAUAUAAAAUAAAGAGUUUCUCUUGUUUCAAAAGGCAUAUUGGAAAAGCUGAGAAAAAUUGGAAAACUUUUAAAUGGCUCAAAAUUUGCUAAAAACUUCAAGAAAAUCAAAUAUUUGAAAAUUUGAAGAAGAUUUUAAGCUUUCUUGAAAAAAAAAAUUGAAAACUCCAUAACAUGUUGUUUAUUAAAAAAAAAAAAAACCCUUAAAUUACUUAAAAGAAUGUUUCUAUCUCUAUGAAAUAAUCAAAGGGUAUAUUAAGGGUUGUCCUUUCAAAUUAUCAAAUUUAUAAUUUUGUCAAUGAUUUCUUUAUUUGAGAAAAAUCGUGCCUAUGGUGAUAACUUAACAAGGUCAAAAUCAAAAAGCAAUUUUUUUGAAUGAGGUCAACCCAACCUUUGAUUUACCAGCUUUUUAAAAAAUAAUCUUAUUUAAAAAAUUAAAUAAAAAACCAUUAUUAAUUAUUUGAAGUAUGCAUGCAACAAUAACAUAAGAAAUCACAACUAGGAUUAAGUUCAUUGUUUUAAUUUAUCAAAAAUUGCAUCUGUAAUUAAAAAUUAAUAUUAAUUAUUAUAGCAAACUAUAUUUAAUUCCUAUAAGUCAACAGAUAAUUAUAAAGUAGAGAUAUAAUUAAAAUGAAAUGAGUGAGAUUGAAAUUCGGAAUUCAUUAAAAAAAACAAUAAUUAUUUAUGCUAAUAAAAGCAUUAAAUAAUAUAUCAAUUAUUGUAGCAUUUUUUUUGUUUUUUUUUUCAUCACAUACAAUAAUUAAAAGAAAACAUAUGGUGAAAAAAUAAUAAUAUAUAAAAAGGUAAUGGUGGAAAAAGAAAGGAAAGUUGCGACUUAAUAUAUAAAAUAAUGAAAAAUACCAUGAAAUUUCAUUUGGAAAAAAAAGUAAAAAAAAAAAAACAGAAAAAUAGUGAUAUUAUAAGAAACUUUAAAAAAUUAUAUGAAAAUUCUAAUGAUUUUUUAAAAUAUAUAUAUAUAUAUAUAUAUUGUUAGCUUAAUGGUUUUCUUGAUUAUGUUUUGAUAAUAACAAAUCAUGAUUAAGUUACUAAUUGGUUUGAAUUAUAAAUAAUUUCAAGUAUUAAAUUGAAAAUUUAUCAAAUAACCUAAUGAAUGCAAAAUCAAGACUUUUUAAUAAUAAGAAACAUAUGUAAGAUGAAUGCAUGAAUACACUUAUAAUUUACAUAUCAUUUCAUGCAUCUUUGAAAAACUUAGUUUAUACUUUAGAGUUACAUUUUCAUCAAAACCCGAGAUCUAUUAAAUGAACCUUAGGCAAAACAUUUCAAAUUUUGCAUAUUAAUUUACUUAAAUACUUUGCCUAAGUGCUAGAAAAAAAAAAACUGAAAAAUAUAGGUUUUCUAGCCAAAAAUGGUGAAUCGAUCGAGGUAAUGGCCAACUAGCUCAAUCGAAUAGGGUACCGUUCGACUGAUUCCUUCUUCCCGAUCGAGGUAUGAUUGAGAGGUGCAAAAAACACAUUAUUUCUUCCAGUAGUCUUUCAUUCUCAAUCGAGGGAUUUGCCUUCCCGGUUGAGGGUAAUAGUCACUUGUUAAGCAUUAAAUGCUCCAAUGCUUAAUGAACCAGUCGACCCCCAACUCGACCAAUUAAAACUGUUUUUUGGUUUCUUUGACUUCCAAAAUUAUAAACCUAUAAAUAGAGAACUCCACUCCAUUUAUGAAGAAGAUAACACUUGCAUUUAUUUGUCUCCCUAUUUUUUUUGUCUUAAAAGCUCUCAUUCUUUUCUUGGUACAUUAAAUUUCCAUCUGCAUGCUCUUUAGUUCACCUUUGUGAUUUAUUAUAUCAUUGAGUUGUAUUUGAAUAAUUGUUGAGUUAUGUUAAAAGAUUCAUACUUGUCAAUUGAAUAUUAAAACCUUUAAGUGAGUUGAAACUUUAAGAGAUUGUGUAAGAGUCAAUUGAAAUCGGAAUCAAAGUGUAAAGGUGAUUGGAAACUUGAUUGAAACUUUAAGUUAAUAAAACCCUCACUUGGUUAGAGAUAAAAUAGACAAAAGAAAGUUGUGAAAAAUAAAAAAAAACAUAUGGUGAAAAAAUAAUAAUAUAAAAAAGGGUAAUGGUGGGAAAAGAAAGGGAAGUCGUGACUUAAUAUUUAAAAGAAUGAAAAUAUCAUGAAAUGUCAUUUUUACAAAAAAGUAAAAAAAAAAAAAACACAAAAAUAGCGAUAUUAUAAGAAACUUUAAAGAAUGAUACGAAAAUUCUAAUGAUUUAAAAAAAAAGAUUAAAAAGAGAUAUAUAUAUAUAUAUAUUAAAAAGUUUAAAAUAAUUUUAAAAAAUAUAAAAUAAAUCGGUACUUUUUGAAUAUACUUUUGCUAAUUUUUUUUGAAACCUUAAAGAUUAUAUUUGAUUAUGGAAAAAAUUUGAAGGAAAAAUAUGAGGGAUAAAAAAUAUAAAAAAAAAGUGAAAAGAAAAAAAGUGAAGAAAAAUAAAAAAAUAACGGAUAAAUUAUUCUUAUAUGUUUUUUAAAUUAUAUAAAAAUUAAAUAAUUAAAAAAUAUAUAUAUUUAUAACCAAUUUUAUUUAUAUUUAUUUAUUUUUUUAUAUUUUCUAUAAUGAAACAAAACGUAAAAAAAUAUGUUCUUUAAUAUUUUAUUUAUUUAUAACAAAACCUAAAAGAUUCCAAAUUAAUUAUUCAUUCUCACAAUCUCUCCAUUUCAAAUAUAAUAUAAAUAAUACUUUUAAUAGGCCAAAAUAAAAUUUCAAUAACAAAUAUUUUUUUCUUCCAUAUAUUAAUAUUUUUAAUUAUUUUAUUUAUUAAAGUUGGAUUAAUUUCACUCAUAAAUUUAAAUAUUUAGUAAGGGAAUGAAAUUCAACCUUUUAAAAUUAUUAAACAAGUACGUAGAAAGUAAGAAAAAUUGUUGGCAGAAAAUUUAUAUUGUAAAGGCUCUGUCCAUCCUACCAUUUUUUUUUUUUUUUUUAAGUUAAAAAUGUUUGUAAAAGCUCUGAUAUCUCUCUAUUAAGAUAUUUAUGGAAACUAUAAAUAUCUAUCAAAAUAAAAGCUGGGAAGUUGGGAUUAAAAAAUGAUAGCUGAUUUUUGAAAUAAAAAAAAGAGAAAACGGUGGAGUGCAAGACGGGAAGAAAUGGGUAGCUGAAGAUUGGGAAAGCGUAGAAAAAUCAGUGAAGAAGAAUAGAAGCAGCGGAAAGGUAUCUCUAGGUUAUCGUCUUCCUCUGCCGGUUGAUCAGGUUUGUUCUUCACACGCUCAGGUCUGCUCCUGCAAAUGCUUCGAACUGUUGGAUCUGCCUAUAUUUUUAUUUCUUUUUCCCUUGAGUUCGUCUUGUGGUGGAUUUUUGUCUGGGUUUAUUUGUAACUUUUGAGAUUUAUUUGGAAAAUUUUGGCUUGGGAUUUUUUGGAACUACCAGAUCUGGGUGCUAUUUUUCCCGUCUUUCUUUUGGUCUUUAUGAUGUUGUAACUUUUUGUUCUUUUGUUCUCAUGACAUUGGGUCAGAAUCCAUAUGGGUUUUAUUUCUGAUUUUAACUUGUCUAUUCCCUAUAGAAUCUCGGAUGGAUUGAGAAGAAACGUGGGUGCAUUUUGAAUCUCCUGACUGAGAAAAAUUGCUUGAUUGCUAUUUACAUAGCGAGGGAGAGGUGUCCAGAUAGUGAAUUCGAUGAUACUCUUGCAGUCUCCUUCCAGAUUUCUUCUGCAAACCUUGUUAAAUCGGGUUCAGAAGUGAGUUGUUUUUUUUGGGAUUUUUUUUAAGCUUCCUGAUACCGUCCCAGUUAUCUACCUGGGUCCCUUAUUCUUGUUUAAUUUCUAUUAUUGGCAAAUUUUGAUUCCUUAGUAAUGUUGCUCAUUUAUUUGUUCUUAUUAUUUCAAUUAUUAUCAUUUGUAUUUAGUCCAUAGCCAAUUGUAUGAAUUCCAUCUCUACUACUUUCAAGUGCAAACUGUGAAGAUUUUUGAAUCACGCUGGUUUUCCUAUGUUUUUAUUUUUUUAAUGAAGGUAUGACCUUUAAUUAUAUGUCCAUGCUAUAUAUAUAUUUACUUCCUUUAUCUGCCAUCUAGUGGCCUCACUCCUUUUCCUUUCUUUUUAUUUUUUAAUUUUCUUUCCAGAGAAGAAAUUCAUCUUCAUCAGGUCCAUAUCACAGUGAUGACAACUGAUGUUUUUCCAGUUGCUAUAUAUAUUCAUCUAGUGGUUUCACUUUUUCUUUGGCGAAGGAUGAUAGAGAUUCAUCUCCACUGGUCCCCCCUAUUACAGUGAUAACCAAUGUUUUCAAAAUGUGAUUGAACUGGAAAAUUUAUCUGUUCACGGUUCAAUGGUCAGACCUAUAGUUGAACUGGUGACAUCAUAAAUAUAUUAUUUUUAUAUUAUUAAAGUUAAAAAUGAUUAUAGAAAUUUAAUAAAUUCCAAAAUCUUUAUAUAUAUAUAUAUAUAUGAAGAAAUUUAAAAUCAAUAAUGUUUAUUUAUUUUUAUCUUUGAUAUUAUUAAAUUAAAUUAUGAGUGAGUACAAAUAUUCAUAUAUUUUAAAUUCUAUUAAAUAAAAUAAAUAUAAUAUUUGAAUGAGAAAAUAUAUAUUAAAAAAAGAAAAAAAAUUUAUUUAAUUUUUCUUAUAUAUUGGAAAUUAUAUGCUUAUAUAUAUAUAUAUUAUGUUAUUUUUAAUUUUAAUAAAUAUUAUAUCAUUUUUAAUUAUAUUAGCUACAAAUUUAUUAUUACCAAAUUUUUUGAAAAAAAAUUAUGUUAUUUUAUUAUUUUAUGCAUUUAAGCAACAUGGCAUCAAGCUCAAUGGAGUCUUCUUCAUUCUUUCAACCUUAGGUCUUAGGUUCAAGUUCUCAUGCACUAUAUUCUACUACAUUCAGUGUUGCAGCCCAUGAAGACUGACCCAUUAGGGUGAGAAGCCCAUUUUGCCAAAAUAAAAAGGGAAAUAGCAAACUCAAAACUAGACUAAUUGGUUCACCAAUUCAACGGUUUGGCCAUCAGUCAGUUUGGUUCAAGCUUGAUUCAAAGCCUCUUUCAACUCAAAUGGUGAAUUGAACUAGACUAGGGGUCCAAUCCAAUUCGGUUUUAAAACAUUGGUGAUAACAACUGAUGUUUUUCUAGUUGCUCCCACUUCAUAUUUAUUAAACAUAGUCUAGCGAAAGAGAGAUUAAUAUGUUUAUGUUCUAAAACCAAGUCCAAUGGGUUGGAGAUGGUGGGUUUGAUUUGAACUGCAAUUUAGUAGCUUUUGGUUAAAUAGGUCUUGUUCAAGUUGUUCAUCUUUUCACAAUACCUUGGAUUGUGUGGUGGGAGAGAAAUACUACGAUCUUUGAGGAAAAGUUGAGAACGGUAGAGAUUUUGUGGGAUUUACUUCACUUUUAUUCCUCAUUUUGAGCCUCUUAAACCAAUGCCUUUAAAGGCAUUUUAUUCAAUGUUAUUAAGCUUAGUUGACAUUCGGUUUGUAAAUCAAAAGGGUUGGACAACAAUGAGAGGAGCCUAGUUCGAAAUUGAAGAGAUUUCACCUAUUUCUAUAGUUAAGUGGAUUAAACCUUUGUGUAUAGUUUUCCUUGUAUAGUGGAGGAGUUUAGUCAUACUUUGAUCAAUUUCUUUUAUUUUGUGGAAGGACUCCUCAUCAUUGUCAUGUGCUUUUUUUCACAAUUAACAUGUUUGUUUUUGAUAAAAAAAAAGGUAGUUCAUUUUUUGACACUGAAAACAAAGUGACUUUUUGAAUAUUCUUUAUUGCUCUCUCAUAUUGCAUUGGAUUGUGUGGUGAGAAAAAAAAUGUUAAGAUCUUUGAGGAAAAGUGGAGAAUGGUAGAGAUUUUGUGGGACCUACUUCACUUCUAUCCUCUUUCUAGGCCUCGUGUACCAACGUCUUUAAAGGCAUUCUACUCAAUGUUAUUUAACUUAGUUGGCAUUCGGUUUGUAAGUCAAAAGGGUUGAAUAACAACGAGAGGAGCUUAGUUCAGAAUUGAAGAGAUUUCAUCUAUGUAUAUUAAGUGGACUAAACCUUUGUGCAUGGUUCUCCUUGUAUAGUGGAGGAGUUUAGUCACACUUUGAUCAGUUUCUUGUAUUUUUUGGAAGGACCCCUCAUCCUUGUCAUGUACUUUUCUUCACAAUUAAUAUAUCUUUUGUUUCUGAUAAAAAAAAGUAGUUUAUUUUUUGAUACCGAAAACAAAAUGACUUUUUGAAUAUUCUUUAUUGCUCAUGUUCUAACAUUCUUUUAGAUUGUGUGGCAAGAGAGAAAUGUUAGGAUCUUUGAGGAAAAGUGAAGAACAAUAGAAAUUUUGUGUGAUGUACGUCACUUCUAUUCCUCUUUUUGGGCCUCUUGUACCAAUGUCUUUAAAGACAUUCUACUCAAUGUUAUUUAGCUUAGUUGACAUUCGGUUUGUAAAUCAAAAGGGUUGGAUAAUAAUGAGAGGAGCUUAGUCCGCAAUUGAAGAGAUUUCACAUAUGUAUAUCGCUAAGUGGACUAACCUCCGUGCAUGGUUCUCCUUAUAUGGUGGAGGAGUUUAGUCAUACUUUGAUCAUUUUCUUGUAUUUUGUGGAAGGACCCCUCAUCCUUGUCAUGUACUUUUUUUUUCACAAUUAAUAUAUCUUUUGUUUUUGAUAAAAAAAAAAGUAGCUCAUUUUCUGACACCAAAAACAAAAUGACUUUUUGAAUAUUCUUUAUUACUCAUCUUCUUACAUUGCCUUGGAUUGUACAAUGAUAGGGAAAUGCUAGGAUUUUUGAGAAAAAGUGGAGAAUGAUAGAGAUUUUGUGGGAUUUACUUCACUUCUAUUCCUCCUUUUGGACCUCUUGUACUAACGCCUUUAAAGACAUUCUACUCAAUGUUACUUAGCUUAGUUGGCAUACCGUUUGAAAAUCAAAAGGGUUGGACAAUAAUGAAAGGAGCUUAGUCUGGAAUUGAAGAGAUUUCACCUAUGUAUAUCGUUAAGUGGAUUAAAUCUUUGUGUAUAGUUCUCCUUGUACAGUGAAGGAUUUUAGUCAUACUUUGAUUAGUUUCUUGUAUUUUGUGGGAGGACCUCUCAUCCUUGUCAUGUAUGUUUUUCACAAUUAAUAUAUUUUUUUAUUCCUAAUAAAAAAAAGUAGCUCAUUUUCUGACAUUGAAAAAAAAUGAGUUCUUAAAUAUUCUUUAUUGACCUAUUAAGGAAAAUAUAAAUUGCAAGAUGAUACAAAAAUUUGGGGAUGUUAAGAGGCUAGCUUUUCUUACCAUACAUUAUUUGCAUAUUCCAAAAUAAUAAUGCCACUCCAAGAAUCAAAAUUGAUUGAAUUGUUCUCCAUAGUUUUUAAGAUUGUGGCAUCUAUAAUGUGGUUGUAAGUAACAAAGCUUUUGCUAAGAGAAGGCUUUAGAGAUUUCUUAGUGAACCUGAAUUCUCUUUGGACUGUGGCUAUCCAUGUAAAUCUGAAUUGGUUCUACGAGGUGCAUCUGAACCCAGUCAAUAGAAAAACUCUUUUAAGUGAUUACUGAUAACUUUGUUGUGUUUUCCUGCAUCAUUUUGUCUUUGUUCCCUUUGUUAGCUACUUUUCUAAUCUUUAUAGAUGGGAGGCCUCUUUACUAGUAUUUUCAUAUUACUUUCCAUUAUUUUACUAUAGAAUGUUUGCAUUAUUGGGAACCCUGGAUUACUUCGCUCCUUGACCCUAGGUCUCUUAGACCACAUGCAAUCUCAUCCUAGGUGCUCUAUAUCUAAUAGAGCGGAAACAUAUGGGAACAAAAACCAUAAUAUAUCAUAGAUUGGGAGGUAAAAGGCUCAUACUUGCAAUUUGAAUGUUCCUAAAUCGAAUUCAAUCCGAUGAAGAUAGUCCAUAGGUGUUGUAGAUCUCAUAGACCCAAUGAUUUUCCCCGUGAUCUCUCCUUUCAAGACCUUGGCACGAGAGAAGGGUGGUAUUCUCUCUCUUUUAAGGGGUGGCUAGGGUUUGCCCUCUAGAGUUUAGAAGACAUAAUGCAAAAGUAAAGCCCUAAACUCUUAACGGGGUUUAUAUAGGCUUCCUUAUGGGUUUAAGUGAUUUGAACCCAACUUGAGCUUGAGUCACUUAAUCUAACUCACUUGGGUUUUAAUUAAUUAAUUAGCCCUAUUGGUGCUCAUUAAUUAAUUAGUCUAAUUCAGAAAUACCAUUCAUAAGAUCCAAUGCAACUUUGCAUUUUUACCAAAACAUUCUUUAUGCACACUUAUGAAUUACAAACCCAAAAUGCCCUCAAAUGAGUAUGUCACCAUGAAUUAGGAGCUUGAAAGGGGACCAUUAAGACCUGUAGGAAAAUACUAAUUCCCUCAUAAUCCAAUUCUGAAGUUGACUUAGCACUCCACUUAAAAGAGUCAACUACCCUUCAGUAUCUUAUGAUAUUACAACAAGGCUAAUUUCGCGUCCAUGACUUACCAUCUACUACAUGCAGACUCCCUAUGAAUUAGUGUUUUUAAUCUAACGAGGUAUAUGCUAUCAACUUCUCGAGAUCACCUUUCCCAUCCUUGAGCUACAAAUCCUCCUAUUAUGUGAUCAACUAACAUGCCUUACCUCACAAAGAGCAUAUGUCAAAUUCCAUUUAAAGAAUUACUACGACCAUAAUUUUCCUAUUACAUGUCAUUAGGAUUACCUAAGGGAACAAGCUGUUUUGAUCCCAUGAUAUAUCAUGAUGUCUCUAUCAAGAAUACCUGUGAAAGCCUCCUAUUGACUUCAACAUAAACUCAAUAUUCUCUCAAGGUUGAGAGCUUAUGCAAUAUAGUAGUUUGGUGAAUUAUGAUUACCCAAUAGCUAAUUUCAUGAUUAAUCAUAGGUUAUAUCCAACAUGUAAUUAUACACACUAGUGUACUUAUCAUGAGAAAGCUAUCUUGAUGACGAAGACAAGUUAUCAUUCCAAUAUUGAGGUAGUGUAUUACAAUAUUUGCUGGAUUGCCCAAAUCCAUGAACCGAUUAUGAACAACUUAUUAUCUUGCGAGAAAUCUAUGACUUGUAUCUUUUGUACAACUUCUAAUGUAUUCAGGUCAUGUACAAUGCAAGUGAUAGAGGUGCGAAUGCUCAGAAUACCCAAUCAAUGCAAAUAGGAUAGUAAAGGAAACUAGAAUUAUAAAUAGUUAAAUUUAUUAAUGAAACUAAAGUUUGUUACAUCAUAGCAUGCUUUCUAGGGCUCUAUCCUACUAUGCUUUCUCUUUGCCUUUGAAACAUUGUCCUCUUGGGUACCUAUUUAUAUAUGUUUCCAGUUUGUCUAUUAGACAAAUAUAGAAAAAAAAAGGGAAAAAACAAUGCCCUUAGGUAAGAAACACUUGGAGGUUUCUUUGCUCUCUCAAAGAGAAAAAACACUUUGCUAUGUUUGUUGUACCUUUUUGGCAUACCUCUUCAUGUGUUUUUUUCUAAAUAUUUUUUUAUGUGUACUCUCUCUCUUUUUCUCCUCUCUUUCCCUCUCCCUAACAGGCAACCAUAGCAAAUCUAUUGAAAGAGCGCCAAAAAAAGGGGGCACACCCUAUGUCAUACAGGAAGCAUCCACAAAAAACAAAGAAAGAAAAAUGAAAGGAGCUGGCCAAAAUCACCAAAACAACCAAAAAACCACAGCUACCUGUAAUUGGGACCAUCUAGGAAAUCGAAUGUUGGCAAAAUUUCCAAAUCUAGCUUAGUGUUUGUCCAUUCCAAGAGGGCUCUAAUGAGGUCCUCCUUUAACCUCUAAUCUGAGAGCUCUUUACUCCUAAAGAUUCGGCGGGUGUGCUCUUUCCAAAUGCAUCAUAACGAACACAAGGGAGGCAUCAAUCUUCUUCAAAAUUUCUGAGAUCUUGAUCUUAGAGAAAUUUCAUAGUUUCUCAGGACAAUAACAAAUUUUUAAUUCCCUUGUUUUCCCAUCCAAUUUCUGAUGAUACAACUCCACCACAAGGUACAUGGACCCUAUAAUUUCCAUUGCUUUCAGGGUAGAAUUAUCUCUUCUUGAAUCUGACGGUAAUUCCACCACUUUCUCUCCACCACGCUCACUUGCCUCUUUUUAAUUAUUGCAAGUACUUACUUCAAUGCCAAUUCUUAUUUUUCUUCCUUAUCACCAACUACCCAAAUCAAACAUAGAUACUUGGAACUUGUCUUGUUGCUGUAAUGGCCUGCCACAGCAUGCUAAUGUUUGCCAUGUUCAUUCUGCAGUCUUGAGAAAGGAGUUGAACUGGAUUACCAAUGGGUUGAGUUUGAUGAUGUUCGCUACCAUGUUCAGGUGAUUUAUUAGUUUUUGUGCUCAACAUUCUGGUGGAGAAUGAUGAUCAUUAUAAUAAGAUACAUUUUAUAGAUUAUUUUUGUUGGUUAUUUUGAAUAUUUUAUUUUCUUAAUAUUUUGCAUUUUAUGCAAGCAAAAAUCAUAUAAUCUCUGCAAACCUCACUUGUUGAAUAUCUUGCAGGUGUCAAUGAAGUAUCCACAAUUCCUGCUGCUGUCAGUAUCGUUACCCACUCCAGCUCAAGAGGCAGUUUUCUCUGGUGGGCUUCCCUUUGGAGCCAUAGAAGCAAUAAAAGCUUCAUAUGGUGUACUCGUACAAAUUCUUGAUCCUCCAAAAGACGGCUUCAAUCUCACAUUGAAACUGAAUUUGUCAAAACUUCCUCCAGAUGAAGGUUCAACAAGUUUCUUUUCUAAGGUCAUUAUGAGCUUGCCAUGGCUAUGCUGAAACAUAUAGGAACAGUUUGUCACACAUUUUCAUCUACAUAACUACUCUAAGAUAAUAACUGAAAGCAUCUUUAAAGGAUUGCAUUUCCUUAUUUCGAUGGAUUCUUUUGUUGCCAUAUUUUGCUUGCUUGCCACUAUUAGAACAACUUGUUUUGCAAUAUUCUCUUCUAAUCCAUGUUGUGUUAUUGUGUUAGAAUGUUCUUUAAUUGGCUUUCUAUCAUUAGUAGGGUGACUUCGAGUGGACUAAGAUGCUAAUGUUUUGGAGACAACACAACAAUGAUGCAAUAUUCUAAGAGAAAUUUGAUAAUGAUUUCAACCAUGGACUAAAUCGUAUUUCAGUGCACGAUAUGCCUUUGCAGUGUUUAUAAAAAAAAUUGUAUGUAUGUGAUGUCAACACCACCACCACCCACCCCACACCCCUAAAAAGAAGAGAAGUCUAUGACAUCAUUCUCCAUUUGAUCAUAUAUGUCCAAUAAAAGCUAAAAAAAUCCUUUGUUUUUGUAGUAGUAUUGGUGUAGGACAACCCUAGGAUGAUUGCCUACAAUAAAAUACAUGGGCUAAGGUUUUUAUCUUUUAGGGUUAAGGAGAGGAACAAAGGAUAAAGUUUAUGGCAACAAAAAAUAAAAUAAAAAUAAAAUAUAGAGAAAGAAGAUAAGGAGAAGGAGAGAUAGAAACCUUAGAGUCGUACUAAGGCCUUCUAUAAAUAUCACUUAGAAGAAAAUUAAUUAAGUCUCACCAUUGAAAAUUGCGAAGCAUGAAAGAAAACAUAAUAUUAUUAAUCAUCAAUUAAUACUUUGAUUUACAUUAAUUAGUCUUAUUUAUAGGUUUUUCUAAGAAAUCCAAAGUCUAUUAGGAUUCUAAUAACCUAUUAUGACUCAUUUUAAUUCUCCCAUGACUUAAUUAGCUACUCUUAAUUUGAUUCCAAAAAAUGCUAAUCCUAUUUAAUUUCAAGUAAUACUAAUUCUACUUUAAUUGUAACUAAUAUUAAUUCCUUUUCAAGAUGUAUUUCUAGGAGAUUCAUCUUCAUCAAGUAUACUCUUUGUUCAAUUCCUUAGGGGGUGUAGGGAAGGAGUGGGGUGGCUAGAAAAUAGAUGUCUAGGUUUGUUUGGGAAGUGUUUUUGAAAACAGUUUUUGAGAACAGUUUUUGAAAAUUGUUAUACAAUGUUUUAUAAAAUAAAAGUUUGUUUGUAAACUUGAAAUGUUUUCAACCGGUUUUCUAUAUUUUUAAAUAUGUUUUAGAAAUAAUUUUUAUAUGUAAUACUUUAUUUUUAAUCUUUGUCCAUAUUUGUAUAAUUAUUUUUUAAAACAAUGCUUACAAAACAAGUGAAAACAACUAAAAAAAUGUUUUUUAAAAAUACCUUGUUUUUAUGUUUUUUGAUAGGCACCUUGUUUUUAUGUUUUUAAGAACAAAAAAUUGUUUUUUGUUUUCUAGUUGCAAACAUGUAACUUGGCCUUAAUUUCAUUCCCCUUCAAGCUUUGAUUUCUUGCUUUCAACAUCAAUUAUACUUCCUUAAGGGUGUGAUUGCUUAGAAAACCUUAAGUGUGAUUGCCUAGAAACCUUGGUGUAAUUGCUAAGGAUCUCUCUCUCUCUCUCUCUCUCUAGCUAUCUUUUAUUCUUUUCAUCUCAUUCUAUUACCCAAGAAAAUCCUAUAGUGCUGGAAAUUUUAAGAUCUGCAUCAAAUUUGGUUUAUAGCCUCCUAUAGCAUUAUGAUAACUAGAAAUGGUUGAAGUUUUAGGGGAAAAUUGAUGGGUCGACAAUGUGAUGAUUUUCUCUACAUGAUUAUGGAGAAGGUUGAAGCAUUGGAAGCCCAAAUUCAAGAAACUGCCAGCUAUUAGUCCUUACAAUAUUGAAGAUUCGGCCAAUCAUGUUUCUAAAACAGCAACUUGUGGCACUAAGGACAAGGGAGCAUGUGUUGAGGAGAAUGUGGAGGAAGGGUUCAGUUCAAACCUGCCAUCUAGUACUAAUCUUAGAGCAACACAUCAUCUUGAAAGGCCUCAAACUAGUCUUUUGGAUUUGGUGAAUGCUAUUAUGUAGUUAGAUUGGUAUGGAAGGCAUGAUAAGCAUGACAUGGCUGGUGAUAUUACAAAGAGAGUAUGAAUAGAAGUAUUUAAUUUUGCUGGGAAACAUUUAUUCCUUGAGCCUUUUCAGAUUAAUUAGUUACCUUGGAGACCUAAUUUGAUGGAUAUGACAUGUCAGAUGAAAGACUAGUUUGAUUUGCUAUUAUGAAACUUGUUGGACAGGCACAAAUUAGGUGGACAGGUGUGUAGAAUGAUUUAGAAGAAUCUCGGGAGAGUUACCAAUUGUUUAUUGGGAUGAGAAGAUACAAAAGUUAAAGUGAAAUACCUACCUUAUGGUUACCUAGAUGACCUUUAUGAUCAAUUACUAAUCUGAAGUAAGGAGGCAUGACAGUGGCUGAGUGUAUGGGCAAGUUUGAGGAGCUGAAAAUUUGGUGUGAGGGAGUUCAAGAUUCUUGAAAACUCUUUCCCCAUUUAAAACAUGAUGAAGGGCUGAAAUUAGGGGCCAAAUGGUAACACAUCAUUUCUAUGAUGUUGAUGAAGCGCUCCAAUUGACUUCAAAGAUAGAAAAGAAUUUGUAAGCCCUUAACUAGAAGGAUUUCUUGCCUAGCCUGAGAGACAACUGUGAGAAAAUAUGAUGAAAAUGGAAGAUCAUUGAAAACAACCAUAACGUAGGCUGGUUCUAAAGUUAAUAACCCUGCUGAUUCAAAAAGCAAAGCUCCUAAGGGUGGUGAUCAAUAGAUAGACAACAAAGACCAUUGUUUUAAAUGUAGAGAAUGGGGAGGUAUGGCAUGGGAAUGCCUGAAAUGAAAUUUGCACAUUGAUGCUGAGAUCAAAGAGAUGACAACAAUGAAUAAUGAUGAAGGAGAGAACUCCUUCAAUGAGAUUGGAUCCCUAAAUGUUGAUGAUCUUCAAGAAGCUGAUGUGGAUCCUUCUUGUCUUUCAGUUGUUAGAGUAUUCUUGGUGCAUCAGAGCAAAAAAGUGAAAAUUAGAGGUGUACAUCUAUUCUAAAUCAUAAUAUAUUGUGGGAAUGAAGCAUGUAAACAAAUUAUUUAUGAAGGUAGCAUUAUGAGUGUAGUGUCUAGAGCAAUUGUUGCAAGGCUGAAAUUGCCAAUAUGGCCUCAUCUUCACUAGCAUGGAUUGAUAUACUUCUUUUCUAGUAAGAAAGGGAUGUUUGAUUUCUAUUUCUUGUGAACAUUAUAAUGAUUCUAUAUGGUGCAAUGUGAUUCAUAUGAUCGUUACUCACUUGGCUCUUGGUUGACCUUGGCUCUAUGAUCAAGACAAGUAUCACCAUCAAAGGGUUAGCACAUCUUUUAAAUUCGAUAAGACAACAUUGAGUAUGGAACAAAUGAAGAACCAUUAAGAAGAGAAGCCAAAUAAUGUUGUUGAAACUCUAAAAAACACUGUGUUUCACUAUGAAAGGGUUAGCACAUUCUUUUAAAUUCAAUAAAGACCACAUUGUUUUGAAGCCUGAGUAUGGAACAAAUAGUGUUAUCAAAGGUGGUUGCCUUGGGAUAAGGCUUAAGGCAUAGAACCAGUCGCCUUUGACCAUGGGUUAAGACUAAACAUAGAUUGUAAUUUAAUUUAAUUUAAUUUUUUAUUAGAUUAAACAAAGUAUGAGAUGAAAUGUCAUAUUAUCAAAUUCUACUAGUAAUAAUGAGAUGGAGGGCAAUCGAUCUAGUCUUGAUGGAAGUGAUGACAAUCUUAAUUUUAAUGAUGAAUAAGAUGAUGAUGCCUAAAGCAUCUCUAGGAUGUUCAUUCUUUAUUUUGUCUUUUUAUUAUGAUUUUUAGAUGUCUGGAAAAUUAGAAUAUGUAUUUGGACAAGAUGAAUUUUUCUAAACAAUAUGAUGUUUCUUAUAGUGUAUGGGGUCUAAUAUUUAACACCUUUAAUAAUUAUUACUAUUUCAUUAAUUUUAUGUGACACCAUGAGGGAUGAAAAAUUAAUAGUACUAAUUGUUAAAGACGAUGCAUAUAUUGGUUAAGUAUAGAAUAAGUAAAUGUAUGUAUAUUUUUUAUCACCUUACUAUAGUUAGGCUAUUGCCUUGCUUGUUGCCGUUUGCUUUAGGAUCAAGGAGUCUUAUUGCCUUGAUGCCACCUUUUGCUUUUGACAACAAUGGGAGCAAAUGAAGAACCAUCAAGAAGAGAAGCCAAAGAAUGUUGUUGAAACUUAAAAGAAGCAUAUGUUUGUUCUUACCAAGAAGAAGUUUGAAAAGGAAUGUAAAGAGAAUGAGAUUGUGUAUACCUAUAAAAAAAAAAAAAGGAGAAUGAGAUUGUGUAUGCUCUCAUGGCUAAAGAAUGCAUAGAUUCAACCCUUUUAUCACCUUAAGAAGUGCCUCCAAAAGUGCCUAAGUUGUUGAUUGAUUUUUCAUAUGUUCUAGUGGUGGAUUUACCCAAUGAGCUGCCACCAAUGCAUAAUGUUCAAUAUGCAGUGGUGGAUUUACUUAGUCUACCAACAUCCCAUAUGAAUCCAUUAAAGCAUGUAGAGCUUAAAAGACAAGUUGAUAAAUUACUUUUGAAGGGGUUCAUUCGUGAAAGUCUUAGCACAUGUGCUAUGCUAGCUUUGCUUGCUUACUCUUAAAAAGGAUGGUAGUUUACGUCUAUGAUGCUCAGACUCUCCAACUUCACCAUUGUACUCAUGUUGAGAAAAUGAGAGGAUUGUGGGUAUGAGAUCUUGGUUAGAUUUGCUUUGGAUAUGAUUGGUUGAUUCUAAUUAAUAAUUUAUUUUCAAUUUCCUUAGUAGAAAGGUUUUGCUCAAGAUGAAAUGGAAUCUCGUGGAGGAAAAUGCUGGUUUGGAGUGGAAUCGAAAUCCUUUGAAAUUUCACUAGAGUUAGUCAAAGGUAAGGCGGUUGGGAAGAUUGUGGAGAGGGGUCGGGGAUUUUCUUCUUGGAUCAUAUUUGGAGAGAGGGGUCUUACUCAUUUACUAGAGGGAGUGGAAGCUUGCUACAAAGGGAAGUAUCCCUAGUCCUUUAGAAGGGUGCGGAAUGAAGGAUGAAUGGGCUACAAGUUGAAGCUUAUGCGAAAACAAAGCUAGAGGAUUCUUGCUUUGUUCAGCUUUGUCUGCAGAGGAGAAAAGGUUCUCCUUAGUUUUUCCCAGAGGAAUGGGAACUUCUAGGGGAUGGAAGACCUUUGCCACCAAAUUAAGGAGCAUCAAAGUUGUCCCUAUGCGUAGGCAUUCAAAGACUUCUAAGGAGUCUUUUCGUAGGUUAGAGGAGAAGGGAGGGGAUACUCAUUUAGAGCAUGCUUCCUUUGUAGAGGUGCUGAACAGAGGCAAGAGGGAUGUGGGUGGGGCAAUUUGGAUUGAGAGUGAGACAAAGGAGGUUAUGAGCAAUUUGGUAUUCCUCAAGGGAGGUGGGAUGUUUCUUCAGGCUGAAAUGCUGGAUAUUGACUCAUUGAAAUUUUAGGCUAUGUCUUCUUGGGAUUGAAAGUUGAUUUACAACUAUCUUUGUUAGGAGAUCCUCUCAUAUUAUUUAAAUUUGAAAAUGUUUCUAAAGCCAAAAGGUUUUAGCAUUUGGGGCUUAGUUUAUUUGAGGGGAGAAGAUGCAAUUGGAUUGGUGGAGGCCAGAUAUUUGUUGCUUUGGGGAAGGUGUUUGUGUUGGUGAAGUUUUAAUGAGAGUGUUAAGAUUACCGGUGCAUUGUGGGGAAAAGAGUUUUUAAGAGGCUUGACAAUGCCUGAGGAGGCUUCAUGGUAGUGGAUGAGGAGACAACGUAGAGGAGUCACUUGAAAUGAGCUAGAAUCCUCAUCAAAUCUGGUGGGAGGAAGGUGUUGGGUCAGUUGCUUGUUAUGGAUAGGAAAGUUGUCUUUGUCGUCCAACUAUGGUGGAAGUUCCACCAUGGUUGACAACAAUGCUCUCUAAGGGGAGUUAUGGAGAUCCAAAGGUCAAGGAUGAAAGGGUGGGAAGAGCAUGCACAAUAGGGAGAGUGGAGUGGGACGAAGAGAAACAUGUUGAUGAAGACUUGUAGACAUUGGAUCCAAAGCCAAGUUUCAUNNNNNNNNNNNNNNNNNNNNNNNNNNNNNNNNNNNNNNNNNNNNNNNNNNNNNNNNNNNNNNNNNNNNNNNNNNNNNNNNNNNNNNNNNNNNNNNNNNNNAAAAUUCAAGAAAGAGGGGGAGAGAGUCUAAUGAUAGAUGCAAUAGGAGAAUUUCAAACUUAUGAAACUCUAUAAAGGCUCAGAAAAUGCAAAGCCAAAGGUUGAUUCCCCUUCCAUAAGUCUUCCCAGAGUUGGAUUUUUGUCCCAUUACCCACCAAAAAAUGGGUAUGAUUAGAGACAUCAUGGAAAUCUGAGAAAUGGCCUUCCAAGGGCAACAGUGUGACCACCUAACUAAAAUAUUUGCAUCCCAACUGUUUGGCUGCGUUUCAUAGAUGCUCAAGAUAACCUUGUGCCAAAGAGCAAUGUUCUACCUAGGAAACCGCCAUAGCCACUUCCCUAAAAAGGCCCUAUUUCUCAAGAAAUGUACCCAAACUCUAAACCUCCCUCCUCCUUAGGCUUGCACACUUGGAUCCAACUAAUGAGAUGAUCUCUUUUUCCAUCCUGACCACAGAAAAUCCCAUUGCAUUUUCUCAAUCUUUGUUGCCACUAGGGAAGGAAUCUUAUACAAUGAGAGGAAAUAGCUAGGGAUAAUAGUCAUUAAUUGUUUGUGUAGACAAGGGUAUGGGUUUGGGAACCAUAAGGUUUUUAGAGUUCAACAAGAUAUUCCUUGUGCAGUGACUGUGGAGGUUGGAAAAGAGUGAGAUAACUUAUUGAAAGGGGCCAACUCUCUAAGGACAGCAUGAGGGGUAUAUGUUUGGCCUCUAGAAAGUUAUUUGAAAAGGGUGGAAAGCUUUUUAAGUCAGCACGAGACUAUUUUUUGUGAUGGUGCAUGGACUAAGUUUUGGCUUGAUACUUUGUGGGUAUUACUAGUUGAAAGGCUUUUAGAGUUUAUGCAAGCUAGAUGAAAGCAAGUUAACGUUUUAAUAACAAUGAAACCCUUUUUGAUAAAAGACCGGUAAUAACAAUAGUUCACUAAAAUAUUGACUACCUCACAGGUUUAGAUCUUAGUCUGUUGGAUUCUUCUUUCCCCUUUUUUUCCUUAUUUGGGAAUUCCAUGCUGGCCAGAAUGUGGCAUCUGUGAACUUGUUGAAAUCUUCAUUUGAUUGUCUAACACUAAUUUUGUUCUACUGUACUAGAACCGUAACACUUUUUGUUGUUGAUCUAUGCAGAGUAUAAACAUGCUCUCUUGGUAAAGAUUGCAUCUGUAAGGGAAGUGGUACUGGGUGCCCCACUAAGGGUAGUGCUAAAACAUCUUGCUUCAAGGACUGUUGCUCCAGAUAUCAAUCGGCCUUUUGCCCUUGUACAUCGGCCGAAGGAGUCCUUUUUUCUUGUUCCUCAGGUUAAAAAUCAUUUCAACAGACUAAGCCCAUUUAGUCAAGUUUUUUUGUUUUUGUACAUUACACAAAAUUUACUGUUACCUUUGUCUUCUAUUGGCAGCCAGUAGUUAAUUUUUGACUGGAUUCUGCUAUCUAGUUUCUCAUUUUUGUCAGCUUGAUUAUUUUAUUUUAUUUUAUUCUCUUGCACUUUAAAUCUUAUUACAUAAUUUUCUGUUAGAUCUAUCACUAGUUAUGAUGUUUUAUUCAAGUCUAUCAUGAACUAUGAGUAUUAUAUUUUUCCUUUCUAGUUCUUCUUGGAAAAGAGAAAAAAGGGGUUGGGAUGGGUUGGGUGGGGUGUUUUACUGGUUUUUGUUUAUCUUUACUGUUAUAUAUGUGACUCUGAAAUUAAGUUAGAUUACAAUUUGUAAUGGCAGGCUGAAAAGGUUACUGUUGUGUUUCCUAUGAGAUUCAAGGACUCCAUAGAUACUGUUCUUGCAACAUCCUUCCUUCAGGUAUGGUGUUUAUGUUAUCCAUAUUUACGUGCACACUACAAUAACUUGAAAAUUUCAAAUGCCAAUUUAUUUAUGAGAAUGCAUAGAAAUGGACCGUUUCUGGUUUUGUUGAUGAUAGUGAUAUGGAUCUUGCUGAACAUGUGAGGAUCCUGUUAAAGAGUUCUUGUCUAACUUCUAAUGCAUCCCUGUAUUAUCACUACCAGGGGGUUAUUCCUUAAUUUUUACUUUGAAAGUUUGGAUAUCAUUUAGGAAUUUGUUGAAGCAAGACGCACAGCUGGACUGAAUAAUGCUCCUCCUUGUCUGUGGUCUCCAUCUCCUCCUCUAGAAUUGAGGGGUACUGCUGGUGAAGCUUUAUCUGCAAAUGCAGGAUUCGUUACUUUUGGUAAUGUCAUAAACCUGGAUAGUCCAUUUCCUCCAUUUAUAGAAACAUCUUAUAAUGUUUAUUAACAAAUGCAGUCAUUUUCCCACGCCACGUGGAAGGCAAAAAACUGGACCGAACUGUUUGGAGUUUAUCAACAUUUCGUGCAUAUGUUAGUUAUCAUGUUAAGGUGAGACCUCUUCUCCAAUAUUUCAUGCUCAUGUUAUCAUGUUGAGGUGAUUCAAAAUUUUGGAUAGAGGGAAAAUAACAGAAUUUACAUGCACAACUUAAUUUUAAUGUUCAUGCUUGUAAGUUUUCAUUUGAAAAUGGUUUAUUUCUUUUUUGCACUGCAACAUGGAUGAUGUGGAAUUCUAGAGCCUCUAUUCAUAUAUGAUCUUUGCUUAAUUGUGCAUGUGAUGAUCUGUGAUCUCAAAGUAUUGCGACUAAGCUUUUGAUGGGUCCCAUAAAGGAAAUUUACAUUGCUAAUAAUCAGCACUAAUUGGUGAUUUAAGAUUAUUUGUUGUGCGAUUAUGAUAGAUAGUUGAUUUUUCCCCUUAAGUUGUGCUUGCCAAGAUUUACAUAUAAGAUGGUUUUAAAUAAUCUAUUAUUGGUUUUUGUUCCUUUUUCUUUUUUUGAUUAACAACAUAAAUAUAUUAAAAUCGGAAUCUAAAGGUGCACUAAAGUACACAAUCUGUAUACAAAGGAAGCCUAAAAGGCAAGGCAAAAGGGAAAGGGUUACAUAGACCAUCCCAUCCCUUUAAGGAGAUUCUAACUAGUUUAUAAAAUCUAACAUGGUUAGGGAACCCCCUUCAAUAAGUAUCCUAACCCACAUCAAGAGAUUAUAAAGAAAAGAGAACUUUAAUGCAUGAUUUCUGACAAUUUUUUUCUUUCAAAACUUCUUUAGUAUCUCUCUUUCCAUAAUGUCUAAAAGUCUCAUAUAAGGUCAAGGCCUUUACUUGGUUAGUGACACACAAAAAGGUAAAUACCAAUGACUUCAAUUAAGAAGAACUUCCAAAGCCCUUAGUGUGGAGUGGAGUAUACUAUGUAGGGGGAGUGGAAAGAUGAGUGAUCACCUAUUUCUACAUUGUUCAUUCACUUUGGGGUUGUGACACAAGCUUUUUUUAUAGGCAAGGAUGAUGUGGGUUUAGCCUAGGAGUUUUUCUGAUAUGAUGUCUAUUUCUUAUAUGGGUGUUAGGAACUCCACCAGAUCGUCUCACUUUGAUCUAGAUGGUGCGGCAAGAGAGAAAUGCUUGGAUCUUUGAGGACAAAAGGAGGACGGUUGAGAAUUUAUGAGAUUUAUGUAAUUUCUUUACUUCUUUGUGGCCUCUUGUACUAACGAAUUUACAAAUAUACCCGUUGUUAGAUUUUGCGAAUAUAUCAGAAAAUAUCAGUGGAAAUUUUGACAAAAAAUAUUGGUGGGAUAAAAAUUGAUGAAAACUCAUAGAAAUGCCCAAAAAACUUUAAGAAGUGAUAAAAUAAGAAAUAAUAUACUUAUUCAAGUCAUUUUAAAAAUCUUGUAAUAAUAUAUAGAAUUUGAAAACACAUUAAUAUUAAAAUUAUAAUAUAUUUAAUUUGGAUGUAUUGAAGGAUACAAAAAAAUGAUGAUAUAUGUAUAAUUAUUUUUUUAUUUAAAAAUAUUCAUAAUUUUAUUUAGAAAUUUAUUUCUAUCUUAUAUUUAACUAUUAAAAAACAUAAUAACAUAAUUAAAAUUAACUUAGUUAAUUUACAAUAUAGUUAUGUUUAUAUAUAUAUAUAUUUAAAUGUGGAAAGUUACCAUUGAAAGGUCUUUGGUCCAGUGGUUAGUGGAACCCAUUCCAUGCCUAAAUACUAGGCUUGACCCCUUGCCUUGUGGGUGAGCUUUAAAGAAUUUUUUAUAGGUUUAAGGAGCAAUCCCACAUCAGAAGUGCAAGAGGAAAUUAUGAUGCAUUUAAUAGGUAACACCCUUAGCUUCAUCACAAGCAAAUUCCAGGCUGGGCGUGGAUGGCGAGGAUCUGAGGUUCAAUAUUCUCGGAGCUUAAAUAUUUUGAAGGAAAGAAAUGUUGAAGCGAGAUUUUCAUGCCACAUUUCAUGUCAGGCCUUUCCAACAUGUAGGGGUUUUCCCUUGAACAAUCUCAACGCUUUCCUCAACACCAUUUUUUAGCAUCCAAUAACUCAUCAAACUAAAAUAGAAUGAGAGCUCCCCCCAGCUAGGAAAGGUGCAAACCACCCUUUGGGUGCCAACAUGGCCGAACUUCUCAACUCAAGUAUCACUGGUGGGAGGUUUGCAAAGGUCCCCCAUGUCCUCACCCUGCAGCUCUGCAAUGACUCCUUUUAUUUUGAUUCCCUUUCAUCAAGCUGGAUCCACACCUCAUCAACCAUCUGCAAAAGGCAAGCUCUCUCUAAUGAAGCAACUAACCCCCAUGUAAUGAAGCUUCUUAGCUAGGGAAACCCUUUCCUUCAAGAAAAACCAAAAGGAAUAUUCACCCCCACCUUCCUUGGUCCAACUUUUUCUUUGCAACACAGUUCUACACCUUCUAUUAACCAAGAAAAACCAAAAGGAAUUUUUCUGAUUCUUCAGUGCAUACCAAGGAAUGAAGAAAACACCCUGCCCCAUUGCUAUGCUACUCUUAACACAAACAAUUCCUAUGCCACUCUGACACAUGAAGAACACCCCCCAACUCCUUGGUCACAACUUUUUCUUUGCAACACAGUUCCACACCUUCUAACAACCAAGAAAGGCUUUUCUCCCCAAACUUAAUCCAUCUUGAUAAUCCUCGGCUUCUCUCUACAACUCUACCUUUGAAACUCCCUCUGAUCAAUUCAACAAAGAUUUCAAAAGACUUAGAUUCCAUCCCAAACCAGAUCUUACCUCCACUUUUGUAUCGUCUGCAGCACUAUAUUUCCCAUAGCUUGGAGAAGAUUUUGAUGAUGUUGUAUAGUUUUGAUACUAGUUUUCAUUCUUGGAUAGAGUAUCUGUUUGUUUUUACCUGCUUCUGCAAUGUCACAUAUUUAUAAUUCGCUUCUGGAGCUAUGGAGUUAAUAGUAAUAAUUUUGGUGCUUUCUACUAUGUGGUUUGUGUGUGUGUGUGUGUGUGUGUUCUCUUGCUACCACUCUGUUUAGGCUAGCCAUAGGUGGUCUGGGCCAGCUGGCUAGGGAAUGUAGCAUCUAGGCAGCAUUUUGACUAAAUGAAGAUUUGUUGGAUAAGGAAUUUCUAGUAAAAUCAUAGUAGCACCCUAAAUGUUGAUUUUUCUACAGCUCCAGUCAGUUCUCUUGGUUUCUGUUAUUGCACUUUUGACAUUGUGAAGAUGCUCAGCCUCAUUCCAUAUUCUGCUUCUUAAAUUAUACUAAUUUUUAUUAGUGACUUGCUUUUUAUUCAAGUAGUCUUUGAUUGUUCUGAUUGAAAUUCCUUUAUUCUGUAGGUUGAUAUAAGAUUUGGUUUAAUGGGUUGUUUAUGGUCCUGCUAGAUCUUUUAAGUGCAAUUUCUGGCUAGCAGGCCAGACCUUAGCCUUUGCCUUUUUUAUGGCCUUCUUAAUGCUUAGAUUUUAAGUAUGUUCCGCAUAUAUCGUCUUCUUUGUGUGUGUGCGCGCGCGCAUGUUUUGUUCUUUUGUUUUGUGUGUGUGUGUGUGUUUUUUUUUUAAGAUUUAAAUAUCCUCCAUGGACAUGAUUAACAGUGCUCAGAGGGUUUCAUGCACACUCGGAUGAGACGUCGCGUGGAGUCCCUUAUUCAGGUAAGGUUUUUUUCUUUUUCCUCUCAUUUUCUGUCUAUCUCAGCUGCUCAUCCAGCAUCUUCUAUGGUUACUUAGUCUUUCCUUGUCAAUAGCCUUCUUAGUUUGAAUUUUGCAUAGAUAUGAUAGAUUAUCAUCAUCAUAAAAAAAAUUAGUUGUAAAAAAUUAGUCAUCAAAUUAUGAUGUUGAAAUAAUAAUAGUGUGAGAAUGUAAGAUAAAUGGCAGUAUCAAAUAAUGUAUAACAGUUGAUCAUAUAAUAAAUAAAUGCAAAUUUUGGCCAAUUAUAAUUUUUUAUACUCAGUAUUUUGUUUAGAACAACCAGUAUCUCUAUUCAAUCAUUGGUUUCUAGCUUAAAGAACUACAACCAUUUUGCCCUCCCAUUGAAGAGUAUAAUGAUGCUGUAAAGUUUUUAUUCAAUCAUAGGUUUCUACCUCAAAGAACUACAAUCAUUUUGCCCUCUUAUUGAUAUUAUAUUUCUUUUGUACUUGUAGAAUAAAGGAUGAAGUUAGAAAUUUAAGUCAUGAGAACAGUUGGAAGCUUGCCUUAUUUAUUUAUUUUUACCUUACAAGAGUCAAAUUCAUCCAGAAAGUAAAAGUUGUCUCUAGAGAUGUAGCUCUCCAGGAGAAUUGGGGGGAAAGUGCUGGUAUGGGGUGGAAUCAAAAUCCUUUAAGAUCUUGAAGGAGAUGAUAAAGGAAAGAAUGUUGAUUUGAUGGUGUAGAGGGGACGAGGUUUUUCCUCUUAGAUCAAAUUUUACAAGAGGCCUUGCUUUGCUGUUGAGGGGGUUGAACUAUGUUGUGAUAACAUUAAUGGAAAGCCUUUUUGGAAGGAGUGGAAGGAAGGGGAAAGUGUUCUUAAGAUGGAACUUCAAAGCAAUAAUGUGGGUAGUUUUUUGCAGUGUUAUGCUUUGUCAGCAAAGGGGAAGAGGUUUUCCUUAAUCUUUCUAGAAGAAUGGGGUGUUCUAGGGGGACUAGGAAGCAAGCUGAGGAGCAUCAGUAUUGUUCCAGUAUCAAGAUCAAUGAUGAUGCCCUAGGGGGAUGUUCAUCAAAUGAGGGAGUGUGCAAAAGAAACCCCUCGCAAAGGUGUUUCUUAUGUAGAUGUGGUUUCUAGCAGCAAAGAAGUGGGUGAGGCAGUUUGGAUCUAAUGCAGAAGGGAGGAUUUAGAGAAUAAUCUAGGGCAUUUGAAGCAUUGUCUUAUGGUUAACUAAGGAGAUUUUACAGAUGAGGCUUCUGAGUUGGGCUCUUUGAAAUCCUGGGCUAGUAUCAAUUGGAGUUUAGUUGGAAAUCUUCAUUUGUUUUUGUUAGGUGAUGCUCUAAUUUUAUUUGAAUUUGGGAACAUUAAUGAUGCUGAAAGGGUGUCAUAUAUCGGGUGCUCCUCUUUUGAAGGAAAGAGAUUGCAGCUAGAUUGGUGAAAGCCUAGAAGCAGAUUGUUUCAAGGAAGGGGCUUCUGUAAAAGAAAUCUUGAUAAAAGUGAUAGGGUUAUCAUUGCAAUUGUGGGGAAAGAUUUCUUUAAAAGGAUGGGUGAUGUUUGUGGAGGUUUUAUGGUUGUGGGCAUGGAUACAAUGGAGAGACGACAUUUUCAGUAGCCUAGAAUUCUAAUAAACUCCAAUGGGAUCCUUGGGCUCUUGCAUGUGGUGAUAGGGUCUUCGGAUUAUGCUGCUCAGUUAUGGUGGGGGACUCCACUAUGGUUGUCAUUGGUUUUUUAAAGGAGGAUUGCAAGGUGCUAGAGGUCAGGGAUGACCGUCAAGGGAAGCCAUGUGUGGUAGGUUUGAUGCCAUCGAUAGUGCCUUUACAAGUUGACCAAGUUGUGGUGGGUCCAACUUCUCUUUUUGUAGUAUUGAUUUGGUGGCACUUGUGCUAGAUUUUUUUGAAUUCAAAUUUGGCUGGAAUAAAUUUCCUAUCAUCUGUAUCCCUUUUACUUUACUUUCGAAAUACAAACAUGGGAAUCGUUGAAAUAUUCUUGGGGGGGGGGGGGGGGGGGGCCGGGGGGGGGGGGGGGUUUUCCUUUUGGCCCCCCUUUUUUGCCCCCGAGGGGGGGGGUGGGAAAAAAAAUUCCACCCCCCUUUUUUCUUGGGGGGGGAUUGGAAAGGCCCCAGGGCCCUGGGCCCUUCCUUUUUUUUUUUGGCCCUCCCCAACCCCCCCAAAGGGGUGUUUUUUUUCCGAACCACCCCCUUUUGGUGGGGAAAACCCCCUUUUUUCCCUGGGGAGGGAAUUUUUUUUGGGGGCCCCCCCCCCCGGGGAAGAGGGCAACAAAAAAAAAAUUUUAAAAGGCCCCCCCUUGUUCGUGGGGCAGGGGGGGGGGGGCCAAAAANNNNNNNNNNNNNNNNNNNNNNNNNNNNNNNNNNNNNNNNNNNNNNNNNNNNNNNNNNNNNNNNNNNNNNNNNNNNNNNNNNNNNNNNNNNNNNNNNNNNUAUUGUCCUUUAAAAAAAAAAAAAAACUUUGUGGUGCCUUUUAUUUUAUUUGUUUGUUCCUUAAGUGACAUGCUUUACACGUUUCGCCAUGCUAAGGCCAUUUCUUCUUUUAUUUUCUUAGUUCUCUCCAACUUUUAAUGCCAAAGACUUCAUUUUCAAAAUUUUAAUUGUAAACUCCAAUUUCAAUUUGAUUUCUCAAAGCUACAAUUUUAAUUUAAUUUCUAAAAUUCUCAUUCUUAUAUUUAAUUUCUAAAAAUCCAAUUUUCAAAUAAUCUCUAAAACUCAAAUUUUCAAAUAAUCUUUAAGACUCCAAUUUUCAAAUAAAUUUUAAAAAUUCAGUUUUCCUUUGAACAGGGGGGGGGGCGGGGGGUGGGGGGUGUUGGCCUUUGAGCCUCCCUUUUUGGCCCCUGAUGGGCUGGUUGGCAAAGUAGUCUCAAGCCCCAUUUUUCCUUGGGGGGGAUGUGGAAGGGCUCGAGUGCCUUGGGCCUUGCCUUUCUUUUGUUGCUCUAGCCUAGCCUCCUCAAUGGGUUGUUUUUCUUCGGAUCAGUCCUCUUUGGUUGGAGAAAUGCCCCUUUUUGCCUUGGGUAGGCUAUUCUUGUUGAGUGCCUCUGCGCUAGUGGAAUGGGUCAACAUAGAAAUAUUUUUAAGAGGUCCCCCUUGUUGCAUGGUGCAGGUGGGGGUGGUCCAAAAACUUACGCUAGACCCUUGUAUCUUGAUGAUGACACAAAGCCUUGAGAUAAGAUCGCUAUUUGCAGAUGCUGCCUCUUGGUUGAAGAUGAUGGUUUUGUAAGUAAGGACUUGUCUUUUUCUUAUGUGUUAGGGGAUGGAACUUCCCUUCUUUUUUCAAAGACGAGGGUGCAUCGAUGGUGAUGGCCAAUAGCUUAGUUCUGUGGAGGGAGCAGGAUGAGGGGUUUUUAGUAGAUGGUAAGGCAAUGUUUGUGGGCCUUUUGUGUUUGUUUUCCAACGAGGGUUUAGUUGUGGGCUUCCUAGAGAUGCAUUCUAGCGAUGCCUAGUGCGCGAACCUUGAUUUGUGGGCUGAAGAGGUGGUUUUAAGAAAGGGUACCCCUACUAAGGACAUGAUGGGCGACUAUAGGCUCUUCAAUCUGUCAUUUAAGAAUUUCAUUUCCUUUGGUAAUUGGUUGGGUUUACCAAUGGACUGUUUUGAAAAGGAAGUUGCAUCCCUAUUGANNNNNNNNNNNUGCGCGAACCUUGAUUUGUGGGCUGAAGAGGUGGUUUUAAGAAAGGGUAGCCCUAGUAAGGACAUGAUGGGCGACUAGAGGCUCUUCAAUCUGUCAUUUAGGAAUUUCAUUUCCUUUGGUAAGUGGUUGGGUUUACCAAUGGACGGUUUUGAGAAGGAAGUUGCAUCCCUAUUGAGGAAGCUGGAAGCCACAAAGGAUCAUAGAAUGGUGGCCUCAAGUAUUGAGAGGAGGUCUUUCUCUACUUCUCAAUUUGAAGGGAGCUUUGGAAGUUGGAGUGCUUGAUUAACUGUAAUCAAUCAAGCAAAAAGGGAAGGAGUAGGAAGAAUAGGUGGGAUUUUGUUUCUAAGCGUCUAGGCUAGUGAUAAGGUAUAUGGGGACGAGAGGGGGAGAAGAGGAGAAUGAUUUCAUUCUCUUCAAAUCUUGAAAGGAUUCAUAGGGCAAUAGGUAGUUGCAUCAAGUAGUGGCUUAGGGGAGUGGUAUUUGUUGAAGUGAGCAGUUGUUGGGCUGUUUGAUGGCCUGAUCAGAUAGUAGAUUGCAGUCUUGGUUAUAGGUUGCUUGGGAGCCCGCUGUUUUUAUAGAUCCAUAGGGCAUUGCUUUUGUUUCGGCUGUGGUUUGUUGUUUCUUUUUCUUUCCUUUUUUUCCUCUUUUUCUUGCAUUUUGGCACUCUUUAUGCUCCGUUUGUACUUGGUGCACCUUUGCCAUAUGCUUUUAAUAUAUUUGCUUAUUUACCUAUAAAAAAAGAAAUGUAAGUCAUGAGGGGAAAAAGUAAUGAGAUUGAGAUGACUUUGUAAAGAUUAUACAUGAUAGGUAGAUGUGUGAGGAAGAGUGGGUUAUACUUAGUGGAGUAGGGCUUGAGAUUCAAGGUAUAGAUACUCUAAGUGGGGAAACAUGAGAUUGUUUUAAAGCUUAAGAUUUAUACAUGGUUUUUUUUUGGCAUCAUAGUGGAUUGCUUCUCUUAUUUGUGGAUCUAAACAUAAUUGGCCAAACCACAUUAAAACCUUUACACUUUUAUUUUUUUAAUCAGAAACCUUGCGGGUCUUUUCUAUUAAAUAAAAAGAACAAAUGAGGGGAAAAAAGAAAAGAAAUGAAAGACAAUCUAAACAAACAUUGAAAAAACUCGAGGAGGCACAUAAUCUCCAACAAAAGAUACCAAUUGCUUUGCUCCUCGUUUAGCUAGCUCAUUCACCACUUGAUUAGCUAAGUGAGGAACAAAUCGAAUGGAGCAUCCCAACUUAGUAAAGAUGUCAAAUAUUUGUCACAGCCACUCAUCAAGUUUCUAUGAACCUCGUUUCAGUUUAGCCACUCAUAAGAUAACAAUAGGAGAAUCCCCUCCACAAAAAAGCUUUUUCUUGUACAAGGUCUUCCAGAAACGCUACAACCCCAACCUUAAUAGCAAAAUCAUCACCUACAGGUUUAGAGUAUGCUUUGGUUACUGAACCUCAAUGACCUCUAAUCAGACCAUGAAUCCCAAGUUGUCUUGGAGUCAACUAUGGUAUCAAAACUAUGGUAGAGAACCCUAGAAAAGAGGAAGGUAAAGAUUUCUAUAACAAAUGAGGUGAAUAUCCAAUAUUAAACAUAAAAAGGAUUGUAAAAUAAAUUUUGGUUGAAGGUAGUGCCUCUUCUUUGACCGCUAUUUGAUACAGGAAGCAUGUGCUUCAUUAUUUGAAAUAGGUCUCCUAUGAAUUUAUUGGACCUUGAAAAUUGAAAAUGAUGAGAAGUGGCUAAACAGUUUGAAUCCAUGAAAAUUUACUGAAAGACAAACAAAGAGUGUUCAUAGUGUACAAAGGGACAAUGGUGCAUAAUUAAAUUAUGAAGUACAAGGGAACCAUGGCACAUGAGGGAUGAUGGCAUAGAGCAAGGAGUCUGAGGAUUGAGUUUUGUGGACCUAAGAUUGGAGAUAGUGAAUGCUUGUUCAAUAUUACUUUAGUCAAAAUUUUAAUUUCUAGUGGUGGUGGUUUGGAAAAGUUUCUAGGUGGAGUGCACUAAGUGGUUGCCUUGACAAUGGGAUAUCAGAGGAUAUGUGUGCACUAGAAAAGAUGUGCAGAAAAAGUAUCAUAAAUAGCUAGAAGAUUAACUUGAUGAAAUUUGAUCUAAGGGGAAGAUUGUUGGAACGUAUCGCAAAUUCCUACUUAAUAAAAUAUUCAUUUUGGUAAAGAAUAUUGUAUAGUAUAUAAUGUAUAAUGGUAUUUUCUUGUUGAAAAAUAUCUAGGUCAUGAAAGGGAAAAAAUUAUGAGAUUUAUACGAGUUUAUAAAGAUCAUAUGGUGAUAGGUAGAGAUGUGAGGAAGAGUAAGAUACAAUUUAUAGAGUUCAGGAUUUAGAUCCCAUAAGCAAGGAAACAUGGGAUUAUUUUCUGGUUUGGGAGUUGUAUUUGUUUUUCUCUUUCUUUAUAAUUUCUAUAUGGUAUAGUAGAUUGUUUUGAUCCAAGCAUGUAGAUGUGAUUGAUUAAACCAAGUUAAAACCUCUAUACCUUUGUGUGUGAACGACUUUAUUUAUGUCGUUGUAGUAACACAUGAAAUUGAAGCUUCCGGCUAACACAACAAUGAGUAAUCUUUUGUUAAAUACAAUUACUCAACUUGUUGAAUUCUAUUUAUCAAGGAGCAAACUUUUGCUAUUCAAGUAUCACUCUGACAUUAUGAUAUCACUUUAAGGUGGGGCUGUUCUAUAUUUUAGGCAGGUGGACAGGAUGCACUCAGCUUGUCCAAGCAGUAUUUGCAUUGCAUUUUUUGCCUUUCACUUGUAACUUUUCUGGGUUUCAAAUAUUUUGAAUGUAAUUUGCUCAUGGGUAUAUAUUUUGAUCAUUGUUCUUCAAUUUGUAUGUCAAAAAAUUUUCAUUUUUACAGCAGCCAUUUUCCUCCCUAAGCUUUUCUGACAAUCUUUUGCCUAAUAAUAUCUGUUUGUAAGUUACUAAAAACAUGCUUAUGCAUCCCAGGCUCUGGAUCGUGCUAAGCCAGAUUUGGAGAAAUCAAAGAAAACUGUACAAGGCAGAUCCUUCAAAAGACUGGUUUGUCAUGCGAAUGCUGCUCUUGAUGCUUUAACUAAUAACAGAUAAUUAUGAGGCAUCCUUUGCUUUAUUUGCUUACUUGGACAUAUAUCCUGGCUUGCAGAGUCUCAAGGAAGCACACACCAACUCAAAUUCACAGAGGUGGAGUUAGUGAAAUUAAAUGGCAAAUUUGUUACUGCUGAACUUUAAGAUCCAUGUCCAAUGAAUGACACUUGUUGUAUAUGAAGGGGAGAGGAAGGGAAGGGAAGACUGCAGCAAGUGCUCGUGUUUAUUGUCCACUAAGAGGAACCACUAGUAUAUUCAGAUUCUACUAUAUACGAUUUUGUUAGCAGUUGACUUCAUUGGUACCACAAUAACCAUUUUGUUAGGUGAUUUUCGAGUCCACAUCAGAUUUUUUUUUUUUUUUUUUAAUUUAAAUAUUUUCUGCGGUUCGAAACGUUAAUCAGCCUCCCCUUGACAGAAGUUUGUUCUUUGAACAUGCGGAUACAGCUCUGUUCCACCUUUCCAUGCAAAGGGGCAAAGUAUUAUGUCAUGCACCUGGGUGAAAUGGGGGCAUGAUUGAAUUCCUGACUUCCAAUAAAGCUCUCUAUCAAGCAUUAUGCUCCAAAAGGUUAUAAAAUAAAAUAAUUAUUUUAAGAUAAAAUAAGAGAAUAAAAACUAAUGCCUUGUUUGUUCUGAUUAUUUUUUGUUUUCACUUUCAAAGAUAAUUUAAUAAUUUAAAAAAUAAUACACUUAUGAGUGUAAUAUAUUUAGGGAUAUUUAUGUUUAAGAGAGAGAUAUGGUGGAUGAUGGUUCUAAAGGAUAUACAUUUUUGCAUAAUUAAUAGGAAGAGGUAGAGGAAGUUUAUAAAUUGUUAUGGAGGGAUUGAAGCCCAUUUUGUUGGCCAAAAACCCAAAAUUUCCUUAAGAGGGUUUUUAAAAAGGGGAUCAUUAAGUAGUCAUGAUAAUUAAUAUAUUAGGAUUUUACAAAAAAAUUAAAAAUAAUAAAUAAUUUUUUUUUUCUCAAAAUCUAUUUAAUAUUCAUAUAAUUUUGAUUUUGCAUUUUUUUUUCUCUUUUUUUUUUUUUUUGUUCUUUUUCAAGUUGUAACAUUAUCUUAAUUUAUAUUUCAUUUUUAAGGUUCAAUUAUUGUCACUUUUUUUUUUUUUUUUUACUAAUAUUCAUAUAGUUUUUAUUUUGUUUUUAAUUUUUUUAAGUUUCAACUAUUAUUUUAAUUUAUUUUUCAUUAAUUUAACAUUUCAUCAUUAUUAUUUUUAUUUUGAUUUUUUUUUAAUUUUUAAAAUAUAAUUAAAUAACAUUUAUAUAAGACAUGCACAAAUUUAUAAAUCAUGAAUUUCUGUAUAUGUUUUUUUUUUUUUUCAUUUUCUUUGUUUUUUUUUCCAUACCAAAUUACUAAAAAAAUUUAUUCACAUGUAUAAAUGUUAAAUAUAAUUUUUUGUUCAUAUGUUUAUACAUAUAUGAGAUAAUUAUACUAACUGUACAACACAUUUUCACAUUUUUAUUAAUAUCCAUAAAAACAUGCAAAUAUAUGUUGGGGUGAUGAUGGAACAAACCUGUAGUAAUUUAAAAGAAGAAAUAAGAAAAAUUUGAAUGGAAGUAAAAGAGAUUCGUUUGUUUAGAGGUUUGCAAAUUGCAAUGUCCUAAAGAUAGAAUUUUGACACCUUGUUCUUGAUUGCAACAUUAAAUGAUGUCUUUAUUUCAGGAUACAACUCUUAAACUGAUAUAAAGAGGGCAAUCUCUUAUUUAUAUCCUUGCAAACCAAGUGUUGUGUCCCCUUCAAAGGCUGUGUCUUCUUCAUUAGACAUGGUAGACUUGUAUAUGUUUGAUACAACUAGCACAUAUAUCUUAUAUAUUUAGUGCAAGUGUCUUGUUUAUAUGUGAAAAUAUAUAAAAUAAAAAAAAAAAAAUUGUAUUUGAUAUAUUUAUGCUUAUAUGUAAACAAUGUUUCUAGUGGUAUGAAAACAAAGAAAGAAAUUGAAGUAAAACACAUGAAUAUAUUGACAAUAGGUAGACUUGUACAAGUUUUGUACACCUAGUACAAAUGCUUAACACAUUUAGUGCUGCCUCAUACAUAUGUGAAAAGGUCAAAAAAUAAAAAUAAAAAAAUAAAAAAUUAUAUUUGACAUUUAUGUAUGUAUAAACAAUAUUUUCAAUGGUUUGAUAUUAAAAACAAACUAUGAGGGUCAAGAAAAAUAUGCAACUAGAGAUGUGUAAAUAAUAAAGGGUAUUCUCGUUCAAAAUUUUUUAUGGACUCCAUGGUAAUUAUGCAAAGCAUACAUCUUUUAAAGUUAUUAUCAACCCCAUCUCCCCGUUAAAUGUAAUUGUCCCAUAUAAUUAAAAACUAAGAAGGCUUAGAAUUCUUUCUUAUCAUUUUUAUGUAUUUUAUAUUUUAAUAGAAAAAUAUACAAUAUAAUUAUAAAUAAAUAUACAAUGUGGUGCUUUGGGUUUUGAUGAGUUGUUCGAACCUUUAAUUCACGCUAAUUCUAAUAUUUUUGGAUUGAUAUUUUUCUAAUCUAAGAUCAACUAUAACUCAUUAAUAGCUUGCCUACACUAACUCGAAUAUCAGGUGAUGAGAACUCAAAUUGUAUAUUGGGAUGACUAUAAAAAAGCUUAUUUUAGUAUGUUUGAGGUACUUAUGAUAGACCAAUUCCUUUAUUUUGUUGAUAAUGUCUUUAAAAAAUUUGUUUUGAUGUGUUUUGUGAAAAUUUUGCAAAGUUAAUCAUAUCAAGAGCACUUUAAGCACUCACCCAGAAAUAAGCAUCUAAGUGGGGAACACUAUCACCAAAAGUGCACAUCAUUUGAGCAUGAUCCUAAAAUAGUGCACUAAAAAGAUCCCAUUGUAGAUUAUACAUCUUGGAAGUACCAAUAUAAUUUGCACAUUUGGAGAAGCGUGCUUAAAGAUUGUGCACCUUGGAAUGGUAAAUUAGAUUGCGCACUUAGGGGACUUUAUCUAUAUUAGGCACUUCCUGUUACACAUUGAAGGGACUUAGAGAACUCAAACCUUACAUCGGGAUGACUCUAAAAGAGCCAAUUUUGGUAUGUCUGAGGUGUUCAUCAUCCCUCACAUCAUAUGGCUAUAGCUUCCACUUAAUCACCCAAUUCCUAAAUUAUAAUAUAUGUGAACCGUCUGGUUGUUAGCUAGGACGUGUCAUCCAUAAUGAACUUAGAAUUCAAUUUCAUAAUAAGCGAAUGCCAAAUAUUCUUUUCAGCUUCCCCUCCAUUAAUCUAAUAAUUUGCCCCUGACCAACAAUUUACUCCCACGUCCUUCCGUACCAUAAACUGGAGCCACCUAAUUUUAUAUUUUGAUCUUCAUUAUUUGCUGACGGCUAACAUUAGUUAAUGCCUGUAACAUGAAGACCACUACUAGACUUCUCUGCGUUGCUAGAGACAUUACAACAAAUAGUUCUCUUGAUUCCCUUCGGGCCUAGGCCCCAGGUUCCAUUUCAAUUGGAUCGUGGAAGUUUCAACUUAUACGUGGAUGCCAUGAAUAUGUACAUACUCAUAAUUACACCGACCGUUUGUAUAUUAAAAGACAAACAACAGACCACUGCCAUGACAGGCUACCCUCCAGGAUAGAAGCAUCUGGAAUGAAUGGAAACCAAAGAAAAUAACGGGAGAUUGAGAUUGACAUGUUGGAUUUUUCUCUACGUUUUUGCAUUAAUCCAUGAUAAUGAAACUCCCGCUUGCACAACAUCGUUAUAACUUUAGAGACAAUGUUUUCUUUUUCUUUAGUGUCUUUUCAUCAUUGUUAUUUUGCCCUCCAUAUUUUAUCAUCUAAUGAAUAAAGCAGUAGGGAAAAAGGUCCAAUCCGUGCCUUUUUAGACAGUAGUCAAGUAAAUCAUUGGACAGUGCACAGAAUGUCUAAAGCAAUUCCAAUCCUCAACCGUCAUCUUUUGCGAUUCAUAUUUUUCUGAAAAAACAAAAAAUAACUGAAAACAUCAUGAUUAAAGGGAUAUAUCAAAUCAUAAGUAAAGAUGUUUGCUAGUAAUCAUACAAAAUCUUGGACGCGCCCAGCUUGAUCCGGUUGGUGUUUAUUUAUAGCUGUGGGUUUUUGAAUUUCUCAUGAAGUAAAAGCGAAAAAAUAACAGUGAUAGUACUCUAAAACAGACUGGCACCUGCUUCUUUAUUUACAGGUAAGAUUCCAUCGUGGCAUGGUUUGCAUCCACCACAAUUAGAGGAAGCCGUGCAUGCAGGAUUAGGACAAAUAACCUAAAAUCCGAUAAAAUCAAGAUAAUGGAAUAAAAUAUUGCCAACUAUAUUUGUUUAUUCCUAUGUUCUCAUCCCAGGGAUGUUGGUUGUUGAAAAUUCAAAUGGAGGCUAUAAAAUCAAAAUCAAUUUGAGUACAGUGAAUUGAUUGAAAUUCAGAGUUUCAAAAGAAAUAUAACCAGUCAGGUUAUGACACAUGUAUAAUUUAGGUUUUAUUAUUUUAUAUUUAUUAUUUGGUAUCUUUUGAACCAAUUUAUUUAUAACAAUUGAUCCGAAAAUGCAAAGACAGAUCAUAGAAUUCAACUGCAGUUUAGUAUCCCUCACCUACUACGACAGUGAGGGCAAUCAUGAACUGCAUGCCACUCAUGUUGGUUGUUCAGAAAAAGCACAACUACAUCCAAUUUUUCAACCUUGUUUUCUGAACGACCAAAGAGUAAGUAGAGAGGGAGGUAUGGAAUUCUCGUCGGAAAAUAAGAGAGGGGGACUGUUAAAAUUUUAAAAAGCUUCUUUCUCUUUCUUUCGAACACGAAAGAAGGAACAGCACCAUAAAUAAAUACAAAGCAAAACCCAACAAAACUAAGAUAGUAUCACUCAGUUUACCCUUUUUUUUUACAAGAUAUGAGAUAUAGAAUCAAGGCGUUUCCAUAGCGUUAGUUUCCUUGUUCACAUAACUAUUAACCAGGGCAAGCGCAUUGCUGGUGAACUUCUUCACAUUCUCAACCCGAUCGCAUACUUCCGAUUUCACGGCGCCGUCAGGCGCGUCUUCGAAUCCAUCGGUGCACGUAUCCUCGUUGGUAAGCGCGGCGCUCAUCCACGUCUGCACGUUACCCAUCUGAAACCUAAACGAUUCACCGGCUUUCAGCUGCCGCAUCUGCUUGAGAGAGCCGCGAAUCUGGUCGAUGGCGUCGCCGAAGGUGGAGAAGCAAUCAUGAAGGGCAGCUGCGGUUCGCGGCGCUGAGCCGUAGUCCGCCUGGCGGGAGAGGUUGGCCACGUAGGAGGCCAUGUGGCGGGCCCUGGAGAGGCUGAUAGCAACUGCGACGCGGGCCAGGUGGGCGGGGCUUUGUUGGAUGGUGUUGGCAUAGGCGGAGAGGGAGGUGUAACAGAGCUUUGGAUACAAAGUUGCGUUGCAGCUUGUACGGAUGAAAUCGACAGCUUUGGAGUUGUCGGGGUAUGUGGUGGGGGUGGCGGCGGCGGCAGCGAAGAGUAACGCCGCUGAGAGGAGAGCGACGUUGAAGAGAAGGGUGUGUGUUUUCAUAGCGUUUGGAAACUGGAAAUUGGAAGCAAUUUCUUGGGAGCAGGGCUAACCUGUUGAUGUUGGUUGACACACUUGAAGAGGGUUUUUGGACUUUAAUAGCCACAGCGCUUGCCCUAUAUUUAUUUGUUUGCCAUCCUUUGUUCAUCAAAAUAACUAUCAUGCCACUUUUGCACAAAUGGUUUUUUCUUUUUUCUUUUUUUUAACUGAUGAAUCUUCCUAAUUUCCCAUCCCUAUUUUUAUGAAAUUAAACAAUCUAGUACGAAAAUUAGGAAUGGCAACGGGGCGGGUUCGGGACGGGUCGCCCCCAUCCCAACCCCGCCCCGUUUAUAAAANNNNNNNNNNNNNNNNNNNNNNNNNNNNNNNNNNNNNNNNNNNNNNNNNNNNNNNNNNNNNNNNNNNNNNNNNNNNNNNNNNNNNNNNNNNNNNNNNNNNGGGCGGGUUCGGGUAAUUCCCCAUCCCGCCCCGCCCCGCCCCGUUUAGCCUCCCUUUUUUUUUAAAAAAAAAAUUUGCUUUUAAAAUUUUUAAUUACAUUAAAAUAAAUAUAUUUAUAAAUAAUAAAAUUAUUAUAUUUUUUAUAACUUACUUUAUUAAUUUUUUUUAUUAUUAUCUAUAUAUUAAAAAUAGUAAAAUAAAAUUAAUUUUAAAUUUUAAAUUAAAUUAAAUUUUAAAAUUGAUUUUUUAUGUAAACGGGGCGGGGCGGGGCGGGAUGGGGCAAUACCCGAACCCGCCCCGAACCCGUCCCGGGUUUAAAAAAAAAAUCCCAUACCCGUUAAAAACCCGUUUAUUAAAUUUCAAGCCCGUCCCAUUAGGGGCGGGGCGGGGCGGGUACCCGAAAAAACCCGCCCCGUUGCCAUCCCUAACGAAAAUCCUACAUACAAAUCUUCUUCUACCAAAUAUUCCAUGUGAUAAUGAAAUAUAAUAGAAUGUUCAAUUCUUUUUAUGAUAAAUUAUCCCCUAUUAUUUAAAAAUAUAAUAAAGAAAAUAAACAUAAAUAAUAUAAGUAACAUUUUUCAAAUUUUUGCAAUUGAUACAUAAUUAUAAUGUCAUAUUUCCUUAUAGAAAUAACAAAAGUCAACAUUAGAUUUCUCAGUAAAAUAAAAAAAAAGUUGGUCAAAAGAAAAAAAGUUAUAAGAUUACACCAAGUGAUGGAUCUCUAUCUCAUGUAAUACUCAUGUUGUUAUUCUCUCUUAUUCAUGAGAUGUUUCCAUCAUUUGUAAUGUUUUUUUUUUUUAUCAGAAAGAAAAAUGAUGGCAGUUCCUUACGAGACGUGCACAAUGCGGACACAUUUUUGACACCCAAAAAUAUCCCUGGUCAAAUAAUGCUUAAUAUUCAAUAUCACUGCCAUACUUGACGGUGUUUAUGGAGCAAAAGCCACGCCACGACUUAAGAAAAAAAAAUCUGGACUAAAGACUCUGCAAUAUGUUGAAAGAAAAAAGGAAAAGAAGAAAUUAAUGUGGAAGAUGUAAUUCAGGACAUUUACAAUUAUGCUGAUGGUUAUCGUGCACGUUAAUUCAGCCUGUUGAAGUUUCAUUAUAUCCUACCAAUCAUUUUGCACAAGUUACAUUUUUUUCCAAAUUUAUUUUAUGAUUUAAUUAAAAAAUGAUUUUACAAAGAAAUAAAACAGUUGACAGAUAUGAUAUUUGUGUUGGGACAGUUAUAAUUGAGGAAAUGGCAUCCAAUGUUUCCAUGGAUCCAUCACUUUUCUUAGGGAUUUGUUGGAAAGCUUUGGUCAUUAAAAAUGUUCGAAGCUACUUAAAAAUAAUAUGUACUUUUAAAAUCUUCUACUAAGGAAAUAUGGGCAAGGCAUUAGGCAUAGUGGGGAUGGAGAGACAACAUCAGCAAAACAAGGGCAUCCCACAUUAGGGAAUGAACACAUUUGUCGUACCAAAGGGCUUCCUAAUUUGGGAAAUGGACAAAUUUGUCAAUUUAAUAUUUUGGACCAUUCUGUAAUUUUGUGUCGAGUGGAGAGGAGAGGAGAGGAGAGGCAUUUGUGGAAGCAUAUUUUAUUCGGGUGGCAGACGGCGGGAAUCGCGCGUGCUGUGGGAAAGCGAUCCCAGCCGCCUAUCUUGCACGUAGCUUUUAAUUGCGGCUGGUGCUGUGGUGCGUCCAACCAGGAAUUAACGGUCAUAUGUCAGAGCACAAACUGACGCUCUUGUAAUUCAAUCUGACGGUCCUUACUCCCCAGUCCUCAGCGUGCCAUCGCAACUUAUUUUCUGCCGACCACUUUAGGGAGAGGGAGGGGAGUUUUGGAGGUGGACGACUGCUCGACCCACUACUGCAAAGCGUGAAACUUUAGUCGUAGUCCCGUAGAUGGUGACUGGGUCCCACUCCCACAGUGGACCUCAUAUGUCUCACCACAAUCCUACUUUUAAAUUGGAUGAAGAAGGUACGUGGACGAGCCACCCCCGGCAUGUCAUUUGAAACAAAAUUUAAAUAUUAUACAACAUUUUGGUGAUAAAUAUUUGGGAAAAGAAACGAAUAGGAAUUGAAUAUGAAUAUUCAACAGGUUUCAGAACUUUAAUUCUGAGUAGUAGUGGGUCUAGAUUUAAGCCCGAAGGGCAAUGGACUAAUUUCCAUAUGAAAAGGUAAGUAGGCCGGCCUUAGCCAUCAUCAUUUUCUAAAAAUAAUUGUGGCGGUCGGCGUAAUUUGCUCAAUUUGGGGCAGUGGAACAACUCACAGCAGCGAGGCUGGGACAGGGUCUGAAAGCUUGUAAUGAGUUUGGGCCGGAUUUGUUGGUGUGGUGAGUGAGGUUAGUUAGAGUUUGUGAGUAGGAGGGCAUGUGUUUAUCAUAAUGUUUGCAUACAAAGCUGUCAACUGUCUCCCGGGAGUGACCCACCGCAACUGCAUCAUGGCCAAGUCAAAGAGUCUCCCGCAUUCGAGUCCGUGAUUGAUGGAAGCUUUCUACGCUUUAAAACAUCCUCGUAAAAUUGCUGUCCCAAGAACUUGGCCUUCAAAUUUUCAGAAUAUUUUCACAAAUUAAAGCAAUUGUCGGACAUUGGACUGUAUUAAGUGGGAGCCCUUUUUUGAAAUAAAGUAUUCGACAGCAUCUUUCACCAAAAUAAAAAGGGAAAACAAGUGGACAUCAUUCUUGAAGUAGGCUAUUAUUACAAGAGACUAGAGAGUUCUAUAAUUUAUUUUGGAUCAUCAAUACAAGCUCACACAUGCCACGCUUGGGCUUGUGUUGAAUGAGCCUGGAUUAUUGGAUCUCUCAUGGAACUGUGGACUCAGUUGUUGUUCAUGGCUUAGUCCAAUCGUAUUCUUACAAAGGUGCCUAACUAUCAAUAUAUCUUUAAAUUGCUAAAAUAAAUGGAGCUAGAGGUGGAUCGGAGGAUUACCAUCUGGGCUCUCCAUAUUGAGCUGAGCAUUGCGAGAGUCUGCAUAGAGUUGGAUGCUAUUGAAGAGUUGGAUAAUUUGGCCAUGAAGUGGAUUCGGAUUUAUAAUGAGCUUAAUUUUGUCUUAUUUCUAUUUUGAUUUUUUCCUUUAUUUUAAAACUAAUCACAGAGUAGAAAGUGCAACUCCAGCAUUAUUGCAAACUUUCAACGAAGUAGUUGAUGAAAGCCUUCAAUCAUGGAGCUGAAAACGAAAACACAAAAGGUAAAACUGGAGGGGAAAAUGUUGAGAAUAUUUUCUCCCUCUUGUUUAUUUGACUGGAAAGAGACAAAGGACAAAUGGACGAUGGUAACUUGGUAAGAAUAUCUUUUGAAAAUCAGGGUAACAUGAAUAAAGCUGGGGAACUCCGGAAAGCCUUUUCUAAAUUCUAAUCAGCAUCAAGGAAAUUUCCAUUCUCCAUGGUCCAUGUUGAAUUAUGUGGUGAUUAGUUUGGAAAUUUUGAACUUUCCUUAUUAAUCAAAACCCAAUUGUGAAACCGAUUUUAGAAACAACAUUGAAAAAAAGAGAGAGUAAGUUUUACUAUUAUUAUUUUCAAUUUUUUUUAAGAUUGUUUUAAAAAAGGGAAAAUUACCUUUAAGGUAGGCGGAGG
rnacentral:lncRNA from 1 species